AAGCAUGCAAUACAUCUGCAUCCCCCGCUCAUCUCACUUCUCCCUUUACAGCUGCCCAUUUAUCAUGAGGGUCUGGGGGAUAUAAAUCAGGCUCCUUUUCCGGAUCAAUAAUCCCUGGGUCAAAAGGACUAUCCAGGACAG